UGCUGUGGCGCCGCCGCCACGCCUGGCGAGCUCCAGCCUGGCGGGUGGCCUGCUGCGAGUCCCAGCACCAGGGUCACCCGGCAUGCAGAGCUGAGACCGUGCACCCAUCACUCGGGCUGCAGUCUCGGCGGCCUCCCUCCAGGGAGGGAUGGACGAGCACGGUAGACGGGAGGGCAGCGAAAGGGGAACGGACCGAGGGACUGCGAGCGAGGAUGUCAUGCUCACCCCAGGGUUGAGGGACAGAAGAGGAAAUCUAAACAGGAGGCUGGGAGAUGCCAGCCCUUUCCUGUGAGUCACCGCCAUUCUUGGACUAUGGGGGAAAAAAACAAGAAUCCAGUCCCUUCCUGCACGUCCGCACCAUGCAUGGGCCACAAGGAGAAGAACGAGACAGCCCUUUCCUAUGAGUAAGUGCUGUUUUUGGACUGUGGAGAAGGAGAACAAGAAACCAACAAGAAGCCAAGCCUUUCCUGUGAGUCAGCACCAUGCUUGGGCUGCUGGGAGGGGAACGAGAUUCCAGCCCCUUCCAGCUCGUGGGCUGAGAGACAAGAAGAACCAACAUCCCAUUCCCACCCUCAUGAUAUGUGACCAGCUGAUCUGGAGAAAUACAGGCUAAGAGGAUAGCCAUUGAGGUGGAAUAAAGUUUAAUGCUUGCAGUGGUUAGUGUUUCACUGACUUUGCAGUCCUAAAGCCAGUAGUCUAAUCAUCUAUUUAGAGGAUAACAGUAUGCAAUGUAGCAUGUAUGGGGGAUCUCCUUCUGAAGGUGAUAGCCAUUAUUAAUUUCCUAUUGUCUUGUUUUCAAGUCCUGUAUCAUUUUCAUUGCUUUAUGUGGCUGGGUUUUACUCUGUUUUGUCUUAUUUGAUAUUGUAUCUGAUGGCUUGGGCAGCUGUUUCAAAGAUAGCAAGAUACAUUAUAAAAGCCAUUUUGGAUUUAUUAUUAUCUUAUUUUAAAGUCCUGUAUUAAAUUCAUUGUUUUGGU